AUCUUUUUAAUAUACUAAAUAUAACUGACUUCCAAUCAGUUAAACCUGGUUUAAACCCAGGAAAAGAUA
rnacentral:tRNA from 2 species